AGCCGGAUAAACCAACAAAAGAAAAAUUCAUCUCGAAAAGAACUCGAUCUAUGUUCUGGUUCACUAAAAAAGAGAAGAAACAGAACUCUGUUCUCUCUGGUCUCUACUUUGGUCUGAAUCUCCUCCACACUGUGUGAAGGGCUCUCUCUAUCGCUUUCUUCGUUCUCACCAUCGUCCGUCUCUGUUCUCUCCAUCACCUUCAUUGUCUCUCUCACCGUGGUCAGCAUAAGAAAACUAUAGACAGGUACGAGAAGGCAUCUUCCGAUAACUCAGGUGCAACCACUAUCACAGAAAUCAAUGCUCAAAAUAUAGAAAACGCAAACUCUCUGGAUUCUCUCCCCUCUUGCUCUAUUUCCUAUUUGAUUCCUUCAUUGGUUGAUAAAGUACUGCAGAUCUGCAUUAUCCUCUGUCGGCGAAAGUCUUAAAAAGCUUCAGGACACGAUAGCACCCAACUUUAUAUCAAUGAUAUAUGCAAGUUGCUAAACUGGGAGGGUACAAGUGAAGUAGUGGCUAGAGGACACAUUUCUGAUAUUCACCCAGAAUCAAAAGUGCAUGGCUACAAACUUGGACCUGAUUAUUAUAAAAUUGCUAUUGAGGAAGUUGUCAUGCCUGAUGUUGUAUUCUAUCGAAGUCAGCCCGAAUUUGUGACUAUGGAAGAUGCACUUGGAAGUAUUGUUACUUGGCCGAUUAAGUAUGAUUAAGUAUAUUCUUUGUGACAAUUGACUUAGUAGCCUAUUCUUUGUGACAAUUGACAAAGUAUAGGCAACUAGCUCUUUUUUGGACGAGGCAUAAGCAGCUAGCUAGCUAUAUAUAUAUAGCUAUCUUGUAUUUUGAAUUCAAUAACAAUGUUUGAUAUAUUUGAUGACAGAUUUAUGUAAUAUUUU